ACCAUCUCUCUUCUCUUCCUUCCUCUUAUCUUACUUCUUACUUCGCUCGAGCACCACCGUCACCAUUUCAAAAGUUACUCCUGAAGAAGAAAGUCGCCAGAAGAUAAGUUUAGUCUUUCAUGUUCUUUGUAUUUCAAUUAUAAUCUCUAAGUCUUCGAUUUGAAAUCGAUUUUUAGAAAAAAUAUUUUUAGGGUUUUGAAAACCCAAAUAUCUGUUUUUAUCAAAAAAAUCUCGAGCAAAAUAUGAUCAGAGCUUAGAUCUGUAUUCUCCUCAUCUCAAUCUUUCUAUUGAGAUCAAAAUCUCGAAAAAAUUGAAUAAAAAGUUUCUAGGGUUCUUGAUUGAAAAUCAUGAAAUCUCUUUAUCAUUAUUCUUGAUUGAAAAUCGGUCUUUAGAUCCGUAAUCAGCGUCAUUGAGUCUUUAUUACCCAUAAAAUAAAUUUGAUUUUCAUCGACUUUCAAUUUUCAACCUCAUAUUGAUGAACUUAAUAUCAAAAUCUGUUUAGCAGUUUGAUAUAUGCACCAGCAGAUGUAAUUUGAUAACAUGACUCGAGCUAUAUAUGUGUCUAACUAUUUGUUACUUGUUCAAUUUUAGGUAUUGGAGUCUCAACCAGAUGAACUAGUUCCAACUGUUGUUUCUCCUGAUGGUGUCUGUUUUCUUUCUUCAACUUUUUCAGGUGUCUUGGCAGGAAUAAGUGGUUAUGUAGCUCAGAAGCAGUCUGAUAUACAAAAUUCAAUUGAAACGCCUUCGUUUUAAAGUGAUCAGGGAGCAAGAUGAGGAGAUUGAAGCAGAUUGAGCUUAUUAUCAGCUGGAAGUGAUGUGUCACCUAAAGUGACUAAAGAUAGUCUCACUCUUGCUGAAAGCAUUGAUUUUAAAGACACUAAGAACAUUGGUUCCAGCCUUGUAAAGCGCAAAUGCCACUAACGAUGUAGCCGGUGAUGUAGUAUGGGGUGGGUGUAGGAGAUGGUGGACGCAGGGAUUUGUAGUAGUAAGGAACAGGUAUCGGAUAUGAGCUAAUUCCAAGCUGCUGCUGGUGGUGAAUUGUAGUAGAACACCUAUGUCCUUGGCUCAGUUCUAGGAAGACAAAAUAAGUAUUAGCACAAGGAUUUUGCUAGUAAAGGGUUCAUGCACUGAAUGUGCACUGAGUUCUCAAGAGGACUGAUGGCCUAGAUGCUGCUGGAAGCACCAAAAGUCUUGAUUGGUUUGCUCAUUGGAGCUCUUCAAAUCUAGGCAAAUUUAAGAUGGUGAAAGAACUUCGCAGGAAGUGCAGCUCUUAAGAUGGUGAAACAACUUCAUAGGCAGUUUAACACCUUUCCUUGUCUCAUAAAAGGUACUGCAAAUCCAGACAUUCGAAAUGGCUUUCAUGAUUACACAUUUCCUAUAUUAUGUGUUAGUUUGGUUAUGAUGCAGUUGUAUCUAGAGAAGAAUCAUAUAUUUGUCUUAUAGCUUUCAUUUCUCUGUUGAAGACAUAGGAUGUUAGACUUCUUUAUUGUUUGAAACAUUAUGUAACAUUCUGUUGGUAUUUGGUAUAGUAGUGAGUGUAUUGACAUUAUCCAAGUGACAAUUUUUGUUCCCAUGAUUCAUGUAAUGUUCUCCUAACUUUGUUGUGUAAUAUGAAACUUUUUUAUGACCUAGAAUGAAGAUAUUUCUUUUUCUGUUUCUAGAAUUGGAUGAAU